rnacentral:rRNA from 1 species
GUGGGGAAUAUUGGACAAUGGGCGAAAGCCUGAUCCAGCCAUGCCGCGUGUGUGAAGAAGGUCUUCGGAUUGUAAAGCACUUUAAGUUGGGAGGAAGGGCAGUAAGUUAAUACCUUGCUGUUUUGACGUUACCGACAGAAUAAGCACCGGCUAACUUCGUGCCAGCAGCCGCGGUAAUACGAAGGGUGCAAGCGUUAAUCGGAAUUACUGGGCGUAAAGCGCGCGUAGGUGGUUUUGUAAGUUGGAGUUGAAAUCCCCGGGCUCAACCUGGGAACUGCCUCCAAAACUGCAUGACUAGAGUACGGUAGAGGGUAGUGGAAUUUCCUGUGUAGCGGUGAAAUGCGUAGAUAUAGGAAGGAACACCAGUGGCGAAGGCGACUACCUGGACUGAUACUGACACUGAGGUGCGAAAGCGUGGGGAGCAAACAGGAUUAGAUACCCCUGUAGUCC